GACGAACGCUGGCGGCGUGCUUAACACAUGCAAGUCGAACGGAAAGGCCCUGCUUUUGUGGGGUGCUCGAGUGGCGAACGGGGGAGUAACACGUGAGUAACCUGCCCUUGACUUUGGGGUAACUUCAGGAGACUGGGGCUAAUAUCGGAUAGGAGCUCCUGCUGCAUGGUGGGGGUAGGAAAGUUACGGCGGUGGGGGAUGGAUUCGCGGCUUAUCAGCUUGUUGGUGGGGUAGUGGCAGACCAAGUGUUUGACGGGUAGCCGGCCUGAGAGGGUGACCGGCGACCUUGGGACUGAGAGACGGCGCAGACUCGUACGGGCGGCAGCAGGCGGGAAUAUUGCACAACGGCCGGAAGUCUGAUGUAGAGACGCCGCGUGCGUGAUGACGGCCUUCGGGUUGUAAACCGCUUUCGACUGUGACGAAGCGUGAGUGACGGUAAUGGGUAAAGAAGCACCGGCUAACUACGUG
rnacentral:rRNA from 1 species